AGAUAAAAAUUUAUGAUUUAAAAAAUUUAUUUUAAGUUUAAUUUACAUAUAAAUUUUAGUGUUAAUUUUGUUAUAUUUAAAUAAUAUAACGAUUAAAUAUAUAGUAAUUAAAAUUAAAAAUUUGAGAAAUUAAGAUUUAGUAAUACAAAAAUUAAAUAACAAAUUUUGUGCCAGCAGUUGCGGUUAUACAAAAAUUUAAAUAAAUUUUAUUAGUAAAAAUAAAUAAAAUAAAAAUAAAUUAAAAAAUAAAUUAUUAAGUGAAAUUUUAAUUUUUUAAAAAUUUAAAUUAAAAUUAUGAUUUUAAAAAUUUUAUUAUAAACUAGGAUUAGAUACCCUAUUAUAAAAAAUUAAAAUAAAUUACUAAAAUAGUAUAUAAUUAUUUAUUGAAACUUAAGUAAUUUGGCGGUAUUUUAGUUCAUUUAGAGGAAUCUGUCUAGUAAUUGAUAUUCCACGAAUAAUCAUAUUUAAUUUAUAAUUUUAUAUAUCGUUGUUAAAAAAAUAUUUUUAAAUAAAAAUAAUAUUUUAAAAUUUUAAUUUAAAAUUAAUUCAGAUCAAGAUGUAGAUAAUAAUUAAAAUUUAAGAUGGAUUACAAUAUAUUUAUAUAAAUGGAUAAUAAUUUUAAAAUAUUUAUUUGAAGGUGGAUUUAAAUGUAAUUUUAAAUAGUUUUUUGGAAUGAUUAAUAAUUGAAAUAUGUACAUAUUGCCCGUCACUUUCAUUUAAAAAUUGAAAUAAGUCGUAACAAAGUAGGGGUACUGGAAAGUGUUCCUAGAAAGA
rnacentral:ncRNA from 1 species